rnacentral:rRNA from 1 species
UACGUAGGGUGCAAGCGUUAUCCGGAAUUAUUGGGCGUAAAGAGCUCGUAGGCGGUUUGUCGCGUCUGCUGUGAAAACUGGAGGCUCAACCUCCAGCCUGCAGUAGGUACGGGCAGACUAGAGUGCGGUAGGGGAGAUUGGAAUUCCUGGUGUAGCGGUGGAAUGCGCAGAUAUCAGGAGGAACACCGAUGGCGAAGGCAGGUCUCUGGGCAUUAACUGACGCUGAGGAGCGAAAGCAUGGGGAGCGAACAGG